rnacentral:rRNA from 1 species
GACGAACGCUGGCGGCGUGCUUAACACAUGCAAGUCGAACGGAAAGGCCCUGCUUUUGUGGGGUUCUCGAGUGGCGAUCGGGUGUGUAACACUUGUGUAACCUGCCCUUUUCUUUGGGAUAUCUUCUGGAAACUGGGGCUAAUACCGGAUAGGAUCUCCUGCUGCAUGGUGUGGUUUGGUAAGUUUCGGCGGUUGGGUAUUGACUCGCGGCUUAUCAGCUUGUUUGUGGGGUAGUGGCUUACCAAGGGUUUGACGGGUAGCCGGCAUGAGAGGGUGACCGGGCACAUUGGGACUGAGAUACGGCCCAGACUGCAACGGGAGGCAGCAGGGGGGAAUAUUGCAGAAUGGGCGGAAGCAUGAGGAAGCAACGCGGGGUGCGGGAUGACGGCCUUCGGGUUGUAAACCGAUUUGGAAUGAGACGAAGAGUGAGUGACGGUAAUGGGUAAAGAAGCAACGGCUAACUACGUG